UGAAUUUUAAGGAGGGAUCUGACAGAUGAUGGCUGUUCAAAUGUAAAAGCUGGUUUGAACUAAGUUCUGGUGUUCUUGCUUGUGUUGUGUUUUUUUUGGGGAGGGGCAGGGGGAGAAGCACAUGCUUUAACGGAGCUUUUGCCAGCUGUCAGCUUGUUUCCACAUACACUAACUACAUCCUGGGAUUGUGACUGCAUUUAAAUUGCCUGAGACUUCCUUUGAUUUGGCAUAAUUAUUCAAGUGGUUUUAGUUUUCUUUUUCCUCAGAGUGUGACGUAAUUUCACUUCCAAGCAUCAGUGUGUAGUCAAUACUCAAGCGCUCAGAUACUACAGAGAGGAGUGCCACAAGUACCCAUGAGAACAUCAUAAAAGUUUCUAAUUAGCUACCUUUUCUGUUCACAUGAAGAAAGCAACUACAGAGAUCUCAAUAUAUGGACACCAUUCCCAGAGGCAAAGUAAAACAGCACUUGAAUAUAAAAUAACCACAACUGCUGUAUCUUCAAAACAGUCAAAGGGCUGACAAUUGCUGUCACAGUGCAUUCAAAACCAGGUGUUUUACAGAAACCAUCCAGCAUCUUUGGAAAUGUGAUCCAUUUUAGUUUAUCUAAUGCUCCGACAUAAAACUCUUGUCUAAAACACAAGUGAAACACGAAACAAACCAGAUGAAGUAUACUUAAGAAGAGUGGGAUAUAAACAGCAUACUCCUAUUCCCAAUCUCUUUUCCUUACGUCAAGUUCCGCAAACUCUACAAGCAAUACAAAUUCUCCUCCCAAUAGCAAAGACAACACAGAAGAUGCUCUCAUUCAGGAUUCUCUACUUUAAGAAGAGAUAAUGAUGAGCUUUCAGCAGAUCCUGAGAGAGGAAGUAGGUGUAAGUAGCCGAGAAUGACAGCUAGUUGAAGAACGCUAUGUAGGGUCUACCAGCACUGUAGGAUUCCUGAUUCCCAAAGCCUUAUAACUUGGUGGGAAAG